CAUUCUCUUGUACAAGGAAUAGUAAUCAUUCUCUUGCUUUGCACUUUGCUACUUUAUGACAUAAAUUUCAGAGAAAACGGGGCACAAAUAGUAAUCAUGGCUUCUUGCUUCACAUAAAGAAAAUGUUGCACAUUCUGUCUGUCUGUGAAGGAAGAGGCCAUGAUCACUAUCUGUGCCAUGCUUUCACAUUCUGUUUGCUUCGGAUGAUGAUGAUGGUCAUUGUUGAAGAAGGUGAUGAAUUGCUUGAUGGGGUGAUCAAGAUCCUCCAACAAGAUGCUCUUCCUCAAAUUGAAAUUGUUGAUCCUUUUUUCACAAAUGGAAAUGGAUCAAACGUUUGGAUCAUCUCAUCUUGCCGGAGUUUCAAUGGAGUUCUCAGUGCGAAUGCAAGAUCAAAGGGAUUCAAGGAGAGCAGCAACAUUACGAAGACUAUUUUCAGGGAAUGAAAUAAUCAAGAAAUCCACAACGGAAUUCCUCAUAAUCAAUAUUUAGCAUGAUCUGAAGACGGGGAGGAGUUUGCAGAGAAUCUCAGCAAUAUUGGUGAAUGGAAGAUGAAAGUAUCAAUAUGUUGGACUUCUUGCUGGAAGAUGUAAGCACUCCAUAGAUGGUGUUGGACUUCUUGCCUUCCGAAGAUCUCAGCAAAAUAUUCCACAGAUGGAUCCCUCAAUAAAUUGUAUAUUCUUUUUCACUAAAAAGCAAGACAAAUGACAGUAUAUUUAUCUUGAAUAUUCUUUCUGGUUACUGGUUUUGUUCUUUUGGGUGUUAAUAAGUUGUCAUUUUGGGGGUUCCUUCCUCUGCAAGCAACUUGACAUGGUCAUCUUAAGAUAUUGGGGCUUGAGGUUCGCAACAGAGACCUAGCCUUGUACGGUGGACAUUAGGGAUGUAAUUCAAAAUUGUCGAUUGUAAUUUUUAGGACUUUAAAAGUUAUUCAAAUGAAAAUAGACGAGAUUCAUUUGUUCGUUUGAUUCUUGAAACUGAAUUAUUGUUAUUGGGCAUUGCAGAGUAAUUCUGGCCUAUUCUUUAAUCCAA